AAUGGCCAACACAAUAGGUUGCUAAGCCGCGAGGUGGAGCCAAUCCAUAAAGUUGGUCUCAGUUCAGAUUGUAGGCUGCAACCCGCCUGCAUGAAGAUGGAAUCGCUAGUAAUCGCGGAUCAGCAUGCCGCGGUGAAUACGUUCCCGGGCCUU
rnacentral:rRNA from 1 species